AUACGUAGGGGGCGAGCGUUGUCCGGAAUGAUUGGGCGUAAAGGGCGCGUAGGCGGCCCGGUAAGUCUGGAGUGAAAGUCCUGGUUUUAGGAUGGGAAUUGCUUUGGAUACUGUCGGGCUUGAGUGCAGGAGAGGUAAGUGGAAUUCCCAGGGUAGCGGUGAAAUGCGUAGAGAUUGGGAGGAACACCAGUGGCGAAGGCGACUUACUGGACUGUAACUGACGCUGAGGCGCGAAAGUGUGGGGAGCAAACAGGAUUAGAUACCCUGGUAGUCCACACUGUAAACGAUGAAUGCUAGGUGUAGGGGGUAUCGACCCCUUCUGUGCCGCAGUCAACACAAUAAGCAUUCCGCCUGGGGAGUACGGCCGCAAGGUUGAAACUCAAAUGAAUUGGCGGGG
rnacentral:rRNA from 1 species